AACGAACGCUGGCGGCAUGCCUAACACAUGCAAGUCGAACGAUGCCUUCGGGCAUAGUGGCGCACGGGUGCGUAACGCGUGGGAAUCUGCCUUUCGGUUCGGAAUAACUCAGGGAAACUUGAGCUAAUACCGGAUAACGUCGCAAGACCAAAGAUUUAUCACCGAAAGAUGAGCCCGCGUAGGAUUAGCUAGUUGGUGAGGUAAAGGCGCACCAAGGCGACGAUCCUUAGCUGGUCUGAGAGGAUGAUCAGCCACACUGGGACUGAGACACGGCCCAGACUCCUACAAACAUCCCCAAUAAAUAAUAUUACACCAUCAUCGAAAGCCUGAUCCACCAAUGCCGCGUGAGUGAUGAAGGCCUUAGGGUUAUAAAUCUCUUUUACCCCUGACUAUAAUAACUUUCCCCCAAUAAUAACCCCCGGCUAACUCCAUG
rnacentral:rRNA from 1 species